rnacentral:rRNA from 1 species
UCGGUGGAUUUGCUGGACGUCGAGCGGCGGACGGGUGAGUAACGGCUGGGAACCUGCCCUGACGAGGGGGAUAACCGUUGGAAACGACGGCUAAUACCGCAUAAUGUCUUCGGACCAAAGGUGGCCUCUACAUGUAAGCUAUCGCGUUGGGAUGGGCCCAGUUAGGAUUAGCUAGUUGGUAAGGUAAUGGCUUACCAAGGCGACGAUCCU